CUCAAAGUACAGGGGCCAAAUGUGGCCCACUGUAGCUUUUUAUGUGACCCUCUAGACUCCAGUUUACAUCAGUUAGUCCCUCCAGUUUUUCGACAAAUCUGCAAAACUCACAAAAUCUACAGAUUCCCACAUUUUUUGACCAGAUUUUUACUGCACAGUU